rnacentral:rRNA from 1 species
CCUACGGGAGACAGCAGUGAGGAAUAUUGGUCAAUGGGCGCGAGCCUGAACCAGCCAAGUAGCGUGAAGGAUGACUGCCCUACGGGUUGUAAACUUCUUUUAUAAAGGAAUAAAGUGAGGCACGUGUGCCUUUUUGUAUGUACUUUAUGAAUAAGGAUCGGCUAACUCCGUGCCAGCAGCCGCGGUAAUACGGAGGAUCCGAGCGGUAUCCGGAUUGAUUGGCUGUAAAGGGAGCGUAGAUGGGUUGAUAAGUCAGUUGUGAAAGUUUGCGGCUCAACCGUAAAAUUGCAAUUGAUACUGGCAGCCUUGAGUACAGUUGAGGUAGGCGGAAUUCGUUGUGUAGCGGUGAAAUGCUUAGAUAUCACGAAGAACUCCGAUUGCGAAGGCAGCUUACUAAACUGCCACUGACAUUGAUGCUCGAAAGUGUGGGUAUCAAACAGGAUUAGAUACCCGGGUAGUC